rnacentral:lncRNA from 1 species
CAGGAAGGGGCUGUGAGUUACAUGCAUACGUACAGACAUGCGUACGGCAAUCCUCUCGGCCCACGCAGGACCGGAAGGUGAAAUAUUCGAUGAAAUAAAAGUAAUGUGUGAUGAUAGUAACACUACAAAUUUCUCAGACACGUUGGUGGCACAAAAAGUACUCUGAUCUCCAUUCUUUUUGUGUAAACUGCAGCAGCUCAUUCUGCUAGAUGCCAAGAGAGGUAGCUGCCCAUUAAACAGAAAGACAAUCAAAAAAGAAGGAAUGGAUAUAUGUAUAAACACAGUGCCUACCUAAAAAUUAGGUACUAUUAGCAAAAUAUUUACUACCAAAUUGGUAGGAGAUAUUGUUUAAUGGGUGGCGCAGGAAGUUUCUUUUUAAAAUCCUGUGAUUAGGAUUACUCAGGCCUGGCGCGGUGGCUCACGCCUGUAAUCCCAGCAUUUGGGGAGGUUGACGUGAGCGGAUUGCUUGAGCCCAGGAGUUUGAGACCAACCUGGGCAACAUGGUGAGACCCCAUCUCUACAAAAAAUGUAAAACAAUAGCCUAGUGUGGUGAUGCAUGCCUGUGGUCCCAGUUACUUGGAAAGCUGAGACGAGAGGAUCACUUGAGCCUGGGAGGUCAAAGCUGCAGUGAGCCGUGAGCUAACCACUGUACUUCAGCCUGGGUGACAGAGCAAAAGAAACAAAAAGAAAAAGGAGUACGCAGCUCUGCUCUGAAAUCUCUUCGUGGAGCCUGUUCUUGUCCUCCUGUCUUCCCACAGCUUCUUCAUUUGGCGGGACCUACUCCCUUCCAGCCGAAUCAGUCUCAGGAAAGGACCUGAAACGGAGCUGGUUGCUUCUCUGCUGUGCUUAUCUAGAAUUCCCUAUUGUACAUUUACUACAUUGUUUCAUAAUAAUCUCUUACAUUCUCCUAUAUGUGACUACAACAAUGUUAAAGUGGAAAUUCCAGAGCAUCUUUGUGAGGCAUAAGACCUCUCAGCUGCACAACAGAAGCUGACGUCGUCCUGAGAUGAGCACGUCAUCUUGGCACACCACCCCUACCGCCACCCACACCCCAGCCAGUGUGCUGACUCAGUUGCAGGCCAUGAUCUCUGCCUUGAUAGGUGAUGCAACUGAAAUGUGCCAAGGAGAAGCGCAGCUCUUCGCUAAAGCAAGCUUGCUUCCACUAAGUCCAAACCUUGUUUCCAAAUGGUGAAGAACAUACACCCACAGCGCCUUGUGUGAGCAUUUUUUAAAGUCAUACGAGGAAGACCUUUUAUACAUGCUUUGCAGUAACACUUUAUGUAAGGUCUAUUUUCAUCCCAGUUUAUAAAUGAAAAGGAAAAACAUGCAGAUGCCUAGGGCUAUUGAGUAACUUCCCCCAGGUCACAACGUUAGUGAAUGGUAGAACCCGAUUUAAAUCCAGGUAGCAUUCUUAACAAACAUACUAUAUCCACGUGUUAAACGUUAUAUUCUUGACCCUAAUCUGAGAUUAAAUAAGCCUAUUCCUGUAUCAAAUAUAAAAAAUACAGCCGUGUACAGUGGCUUAUGCCUGUAAUCCCAGCACUUUGGGAGGCCGAGGAGGGUGGAUUGCUUGAGGUCAAGAGUUCAAGACCAGCCUGGCCAACAUGGUGAAACCCCGUCUCUACUAAAAAUACAAAACUUAACUGGGCGUGGUGGCGGGUGCCUGUAAUCCCAGCUACUUGGGAGGCUGAGGCAGGAGAGUCAUUUGAACCUGGGAAGAGGUGAGAUUGCAGUCCAUCAAGAUAGCACUACUGCACUCCAGCCUGGGCAACAGAGUGAGACUCUGUCUCUAAAAAAAUAAAAAUAAAA